rnacentral:tRNA from 1 species
GGGCGUAUGGCGCAGUUGGUUAGCGCACUUGCACGACACGCAAGGGGUCACAGGUUCAAAUCCUGUUACGCCCAC